GUACACACCGCCCGUCACACCAUGAAAGUUGGGCCUACCAGAAGUCAUUGCGCUAACCGCAAGGAGGCAGAUGCCCAAGGUAGGACCGAUGAUUGGGGUGAAGUCGUAACAAGGUAGCCGUAGGUGAACCUGCAGAAGGAUCA
rnacentral:rRNA from 1 species